rnacentral:rRNA from 1 species
UACGAAGGGGGCUAGCGUUGCUCGGAAUCACUGGGCGUAAAGCGCACGUAGGCGGACUCUUAAGUCGGUGGUGAAAUCCUGGAGCUCAACUCCAGAACUGCCUUCGAUACUGAGAGUCUCGAGUCCGAGAGAGGUGAGUGGAACUGCGAGUGUAGAGGUGAAAUUCGUAGAUAUUCGCAAGAACACCAGUGGCGAAGGCGGCUCACUGGACGACUGUUGACGCUGAGGUGGCGAAAGCGUGGGGAGCAAACAGG